rnacentral:misc_RNA from 1 species
AAGUCGUAACAAGGUUUCCGUAGGUGAACCUGCGGAAGGAUCAUUAACACGUAUCCACGUAUCAACCCCUCUGUGCAAACGUAACAACGUAAAGGUCAGCCUAGUCCGCUGCUGCUUCGUAGUUGGUCUCAACGAUGGCGGGCUCGUUCUGUCCCUUCCCACUCUUCCGCUUGCGGAGGAGCAGGAGUGGUGCGCGGGAUAGGCCCGGAGAUCCAGAGCAGGCGGGCGUUUUAACGGUUGGCUGCCAUUUUUCCAUUGUUAGCCCUGUUUACCACUUUUUUAACCCCUUUGUACUCUUUUUGUACUGAACCAAAACAUUUCUUUCGGAGCUCGCAAGAGCGACGGAGAGAUAUUACGAAACUAAAGAACAACUCUUAGCAACGGAUAUCUUGGUUCCC